rnacentral:rRNA from 1 species
GAUGAACGCUGGCGGCGUGCCUAAUACAUGCAAGUCGAGCGAACAGACGAGGAGCUUGCUCCUCUGACGUUAGCGGCGGACGGGUGAGUAACACGUGGAUAACCUACCUAUAAGACUGGGAUAACUUCGGGAAACCGGAGCUAAUACCGGAUAAUAUAUUGAACCGCAUGGUUCAAUAGUGAAAGACGGUUUUGCUGUCACUUAUAGAUGGAUCCGCGCGGCAUUAGCUAGUUGGUAAGGUAACGGCUUACCAAGGCAACGAUGCGUAGCCGACCUGUGAGGGUGAUCGGCCACACUGGAACUGAGACACGGACCAGGCUCCUACGGGAGGCAGCAGUAGGGAAUCUUCCGCAAUGGGCGAAAGCCUGACGGAGCGACGCCACGUGAGUGAUGAAGGUCUUCGGAUCGUAAAACUCUGUUAUUAGGGAAGAACAAAUGUGUAAGUAGCUAUGCACGUCUUGACGGUACCUAAUCAGAAAGCCACGGCUAACUACGUG